CGCGUAGGUGGUUUGUUAAGUUGGAUGUGAAAGCCCCGGGCUCAACCUGGGAACUGCAUCCAAAACUGGCAGGCUAGAGUACGGUAGAGGGUGGUGGAAUUUCCUGUGUAGCGGUGAAAUGCGUAGAUAUAGGAAGGAACACCAGUGGCGAAGGCGACCACCUGGACUGAUACUGACACUGAGGUGCGAAAGCGUGGGGAGCAAACA
rnacentral:rRNA from 1 species